UGCCUUAAGACCAAAACAUGGCCGUAUGGUAAAGGUGGGCUAAAACUGUGGGGCGGUCUGCGAGCGAUCCUGAAAUAAACACUGACGUGAGUUUUAUGGGAAUUGGAGAAGACCCAUUCUCCAACUGUGAACCGUCUCCCUUUGGGAAUCGAAAGCUAUUUCUUGUUUUAAUUUCCAGCCAAACGUUUGCAAUAGACAAACUAAUUGGUUUAUAAUUGGUUAUGGUUUGCUAAGUCGAUGUACGCUUGGAUAUUUCACGUUCUUCUACUAUUGUUUAUUCCCACCUACGCCUCGAACAUUAAUGAUGCCAGACGGUUGAAUGGAUUGUUACCAGUAAUGGACUCCAUUGAACUCACACAAUUUGGACUCAAACAACUAUUUUACCAGGUAAAGCAAGGCUUUCCUGAGGUGCCUGAUUCUGUUGUCAAUGAUUGCAUCAGAAAGGCUUGUUACAACAGGCAAGCUGCAGAAGCCCUACUGCAGAGAGAGGCUCCAAAAUAUGGCAGGUUUCCUCUCGUCAAGAAAACAACUCAGGGAAAUCCCAAAAGCCUUUCGGCUGGAAAUUCACCACUUGACGGUGGACCUAAAUCUCUCGGUGACUGCGUGACACCUACCAAAUUUCCUCCAGCACUGCCAGUCACACCACCGGUGGCUGCAGCAGCAGCUGCAUCUUCCCGUCCUAGUCCGCCGAUCUACAGUUCGCCACUUUAUCGGCCUGACAUUGAUUUGUCACUGCCUCCUCCAGACAUCUCCAGCGGGUGGGAAACGAAAGCUUCGUCCCAAGUACAAGUCUUUUGCGAACAGCCGAGAUCAUCCACGUCAGUCAAUGUGAUCUUGCAACCCUCCGCCGACACUCUUCCCUACGUCACCUACUCAUCAGCCUCCACCGAUCAUCACAGAGGAUUACACUCACAGUUACAAAUUACAAUCAGUCCUCAAGGAGGAUCAGUAUCGGCCGUUCAGCGAUCUAAUUUGCUUUCUCCAUGGCAUUACGGUGCGGUGCCUGUACCGAAUGCAGGCAACGUGAACGGCCUCAACCAACAGUGCACCUCUUCGUUGAGCUUACCUGAUCAGGCGGAGCACAUCAAGGAACAAUGCAAACGACGAGAAUCUUUGCGUCGCUCCUUGGAUGAGGAUCGCCAACAGUUGAUCCUGUUGCGCCGCAAGGUCGAAAACCUUCAAGAAGAAUUGACGAAAGAAAAACGACUCCUCGACACGAGCGAGAGAAAUAACGUACCCCAUAGAGAACAACGAUUACCACCAGCGCCACCUAUUGGCCGGAUUCUGCCACACUAUCCGCAUCAACUCCAGCGCCAACAAGCCGUGGUUGACUUGGAAAACCUUAAAGGUGAAGUGCACAACUUGGAGGUGGAUUGCCAGCGGAUGUAUCAAGAGCUGGUCACGCGUAACAGCGAAACCCCUAAUCCAUCAACUAGUGUGUCUCCUCCUCAACCAUCAUCGACUGGCAGCACAGCGUUAUUUAACGGAAUGCCGCUGCCAAUAGCCAGUUUGACGGAGGAGGAGGACGAUGAAUCGGACGGCUGGAACUGCAGCCGUUGCACCUUCCAGAACCACCCGGCGCUGAGCAAGUGCGAGGAAUGCGAAUCGCCACGUUCCGUCUCCAGCCCGCCAUGCGUUUCUUCUUCUUCUUCUUCGUCUAUCGUUACCUCUUCAACGCAAGCGGACGCAGCCGGAGAUGGCCAGGGGUGAUGGCCGUCCGCAGCUUUAUACCGUACAGCCGUAGGCCGGGCAACAUUCACAUCCACGUCCGUCACCGUCCGCGGACGAUCCAAGGGUGGGGUGUCUAAAAAAAAAAACAACCAAUCAAUCGGCUCGGAUUUUAUUCUUUUCCUUUCUUUAAUGGCAAUUUCUUUCUUUACAAAAAAAUUUAAAGAAUAAAAAAAAAACAAACAAACAAACUGCGGCCUCAUCGGACGGGCCUGGCUCUGCAUCUUUGCGAUUCAUCAUAAAGAAAUGGCCCGAAAGGAAAGACGACAACGGCCGUUUUCUGAAUAUAAUUAUUAUUUUUUACUUCUUCCUGGUGCAGCAAAGCUCAUUCGUUUUCGAUAUUCAUAUUCUGAAAAAGAAAAUUCUGUUCGAUGAAUGAAACAUGGAUUCGUUCAUUGUAAAAUCCUCUGUAUCAUCCCUCUCCCCGAAUUCACGUGUGUGUGUGUACAUAUUAUAUACUUAUCGAUCAUUUGCAUACAUUUGCACAUCUUCCGUUGAA
rnacentral:misc_RNA from 1 species